rnacentral:rRNA from 1 species
CAAUAGCGUAUAUUAAAGUUGUUGCAGUUAAAAAGCUCGUAGUUGGAUUUCUGGUGGGAGCGAUCGGUCUGGCGCUUAGCGCGAGUACUUGCAUCGUCUCCGGCCAUCCUUGGGGAGAGUCUGUCUGGCAUUAGGUUGUCGGGCAGAGGAUCCUCAUCGUUUACUGUGAAAAAAUUAGAGUGUUCAAAGCAGGCUUAUGCCGUUGAAUAUAUUAGCAUGGAAUAAUAAGAUAGGACUUUGGUACUAUUUUGUUGGUUUGCGCACCAAAGUAAUGAUUAAUAGGGACAGUUGGGGGUAUUCGUAUUCCGUUGUCAGAGGUGAAAUUCUUGGAUUUAUGAAAGACGAACUACUGCGAAAGCAUUUGCCAAGGAUGUUUUCACUAA